rnacentral:rRNA from 1 species
AGAGUUUGAUCCUGGCUCAGGACGAACGCUGGCGGCGUGCUUAACACAUGCAAGUCGAACGAGGCGGCGGCCUUCGGGCCGUCGUCGAGUGGCGAACGGGUGAGUAACACGUGAGGAACCUGCCCCGGAGACCGGGAUAACCAGAGGAAACCCUGGCUAAUACCGGAUGCCCCCGGAUGGUCGCAUGGCCAACCGAGGAAACGCUCCGGUGCUCCGGGAGGGCCUCGCGGCCUAUCAGCUUGUUGGUGGGGUAACGGCCUACCAAGGCAUCGACGGGUAGCUGGUCUGAGAGGACGAUCAGCCACACUGGGACUGAGACACGGCCCAGACUCCUACGGGAGGCAGCAGUGGGGAAUAUUGCGCAAUGGGCGAAAGCCUGACGCAGCAACGCCGCGUGGGGGAUGAAUGCCUUCGGGUUGUAAACCCCUUUCAGCAGGGACGAAAAUGACGGUACCUGCAGAAGAAGCCCCGGCCAACUACGUGCCAGCAGCCGCGGUAACACGUAGGGGGCAAGCGUUGUCCGGAUUUAUUGGGCGUAAAGAGCUCGUAGGCGGUUGCGUAAGUCGGAUGUGAAAACUCAGGGCUCAACCCGGAGACGCCAUCCGAUACUGCGCUGACUAGAGUCCGGUAGAGGAGCAUGGAAUUCCUGGUGUACCGGUGAAAU